rnacentral:rRNA from 1 species
AUUGAACGCUGGCGGCAGGCCUAACACAUGCAAGUCGAGCGGAUGAAGGGAGCUUGCUCCUGGAUUCAGCGGCGGACGGGUGAGUAAUGCCUAGGAAUCUGCCUGGUAGUGGGGGAUAACGUCCGGAAACGGGCGCUAAUACCGCAUACGUCCUGAGGGAGAAAGUGGGGGAUCUUCGGACCUCACGCUAUCAGAUGAGCCUAGGUCGGAUUAGCUAGUUGGUGGGGUAAAGGCCUACCAAGGCGACUAUCCGUAACUGGUCUGUGAGGAUGAUCAGUCACACUGGAAGUGAGACACGGUCCAGACUCCUACGGGAGGCAGCAGUGGGGAAUAUUGGACAAUGGGCGAAAGCCUGAUCCAGCCAUGCCGCGUGUGUGAAGAAGGUCUUCGGAUUGUAAAGCACUUUAAGUUGGGAGGAAGGGCAGUAAGUUAAUACCUUGCUGUUUUGACGUUACCAACAGAAUAAGCACCGGCUAACUUCGUG